AGAACGAAAGUUAGGGGAUCGAAGACGAUCAGAUACCGUCGUAGUCUUAACCAUAAACGAUGCCGACCAGCGAUUAGGAGACGUUGAAUACAAAACACCGCCGUUAAUCCUUUCGGGGGUUAAUGGUUGGUGAAUGACUCCCCUAGCAGCUUGUGAGA
rnacentral:rRNA from 1 species